rnacentral:rRNA from 1 species
CCGCUAUUGGAGUCCGAUUAAGACAUGCGAGUCGAGAGCUUUCGGAGCUCGGCAUACUGCUCAGUAACACGUGGGUAACCUGCCCUAUGCUGGGGGAUAACCUCGGGAAACUGAGAACAAUACCCCAUAGUCCACUACGCCUGGAACGGUGAGUGGAUGAAAGCCCCGGCGGCAUAGGAUGGGCCUGCGGCGUAUCAGGUUGUAGGGGGUGUAAUGUACCCUCUAGCCCUCGACGCGUACGGGUUGUGAGAGCAAUAGCCCGGAGAUGGAUUCUGAGACAAGAAUCCAGGUCCUACGGGACGCAGCAGUCGCGAAACCUUGACAAUGCGGGAAACCGUGAUCAGGGGACUCCAAGUGCCAGGAGUAAGAUCCUGUGCUUUUCAUCUCUCUUCAAAGGAUUUGGAAUAAGAGGUGGGUAAGGACGGUGCCAGCCGCCGCGGUAAUACCGGCGCCUCAAGUGGUAGUCGAUUUUAUUGGGCCUAAAACGUCCGUCGCCGGUCUGGUGCAUUCGUGGGUAAAUCAACCCGCUCAACGGGUUGAAUUCUGCGAGCACGGCCAGACUAGGGACCGGGAGAGGUGUAGGGUACGCUCGGGGUAGGGGUAAAAUCCUGUCAUCCCGAGCGGACCACCUGUUGCGAAGGCGCUACACUAGAACGGAUCCGACGGUCAGGGACGAAGCCUAGGGGCACGAACCGGAUUAGAUACCCGGGUAGUCCUAGGUGUAAACGCUGUGGACUUGGUGUUGGAAGCUCCCAGAGGGCUUUCAGUGCCGUAGCGAAGGUGAUAAGUCCACUGCCUGGGGAGUACGGUCGCAAGGCUGAAACUUAAAGGAAUUGGCGGGGGAACACCGCAACCUGAGGAUUGUGCGG